GUCUACGGCCAUACCACCCUGAACGCGCCCGAUCUCGUCUGAUCUCGGAAGCUAAGCAGGGUCGGGCCUGGUUAGCACUUGGAUGGGAGACAGGGCUCAGCCAGCUGGCCA
rnacentral:rRNA from 1 species